rnacentral:lncRNA from 1 species
GGAAUACAACACAAUAACUGAAUCAUACAAGUUUUAAAAGACAGUUGCAAAAAUAAAAGAAUCUCGUUGUAAGAAGGCCCAAGAGAAAGCCAAGGGACUCGAUGUUAAAAUCAGAAAUUAAACUUAAAAGAAAUUUAGCGUUUUGUUAACAAUUAAAAUCAGAAAUUAAAAAUUAAAAAUUAACAACAAUAAUUAAUUUAUAAUAAUAAAUAACAUUAACAAUAAUAAUAAUACAUAAUGAUAAUUAAAAAUAAUAUAAAUAAAUAAUGAUAAUAAGCAAAAAUAAUAAAUAUUAACAAAAUAAUAACAAUAAAUAAACAAAAAUAAUAAAUAUUAACAAUAAUUAUAAUAAAUAAAUAAUAAAUUAGAAAACAAAUAGAUAUUAAUAAUAACAAAUAAGAAAAAACAAUAAACAUUAUUAAUAAUAAUAGUAAUAAUAAUAACUGGAAAAGAAAA